UACGGACCGGUUCAACGGAAAUUGCUGCUUUUCCAGGUGCAUUUCCAGGCGUUCCAGGUGCAGGUGUAAUUUAAAAAUUCUCCCAAGAUAUUCUCCGUAAUCCUCUUGUUCAGAGCUGUGUAAUUUCGGGACGGUUGGGCGAUUUCGGAUUUCACGCCGCUUCUUCUCGCGUUUUCCGGCCAUCUUUUCCCCUCCCGCUUUGUUUGUCACUUCUGUGCGUGCGGCGACAAAAAAACAUUUGCGCUCCGUGAAAACAAAACUCCCGGCGUAAUUCCGCUUCGAAAAGAUGUCGCAUGGCCGCAACGAGUGUCGCAUCUACGUCGGUAAUCUACCGCCCGAUAUCCGCACCAAGGACAUCCAGGAUUUGUUCCACAAGUUCGGAAAAGUUACGUUCGUGGAUCUGAAAAACCGCCGCGGGCCGCCAUUUGCUUUCGUCGAGUUUGAGGACGCUCGGGAUGCGGAUGAUGCGGUGAAGGCACGGGACGGGUACGACUACGACGGGUACCGGCUGCGAGUGGAAUUCCCGCGCGGUGGUGGUCCCGGCAGUUACCGGGGCAGCCGACAGGGUAACAGUGAUCGUAGCAGCCGUGGUGACCGUGGAAACCGUGGACCACCGGCUCGUCGUUCGCAGUUCCGCGUGACGGUUUCCGGGUUACCAUCAUCCGGAUCCUGGCAGGAUCUGAAGGAUCACAUGCGCGAGGCAGGCGACGUUUGCUUCGCCGAUGUCUACAAGGAUGGUACCGGAGUGGUAGAGUUCUUGCGGCACGAGGAUAUGAAGUACGCCAUCAAAAAGCUGGACGAUUCACGGUUCCGGUCACAUGAGGGUGAAGUGGCUUACAUUCGUGUACGGGAAGAUUCCGGUAAUGACGACAAACGAGAUCAUCGGGAUAGAUCGUACUCACCACGCAGACGAAGAGGAACACCUACCUAUUCACCGGUGCAGAGGAGCGUUUCGCGAUCGCGUUCCCGUUCCUAUCACUAAUCAUCUCCGGCCGGUCGGCGUAUGGGGCUGAAGACCCGCAGGAGGCAACUAAAGGUCAAGGAUUGAUGAAUAGGAUGUAUUGAAUAUUUUGAGGAUUCGCCAGGAUUCGGAGGAGAUUGUGCAAGGAGGAUAACGCCAGGAGAACAUUGGAUGGAGGACAGGCAAGCAGGCAAAAACACAUCGUUUACACGGAGGAUCGUCUGAACGUUCCUUCGCCCCGCUUCCUUUUUCUUAGUAGGCAGUUGCGUUGGAUGUGUUUAUACUACAUACUGGUUGGUUGCAGUAUGCUAGACCACAUUCCCACUGUACCCUGGAGUGGCGUAUCUGUUUCAGGAUCGCUUCUUCCGUGGUUUCUGCUCCCCUGGAGACUUUCAGUGGUGCUAUUGCACUCUCUUGUCCCGUUUGGUCAAAAGUAGCGGCGAGAAGCUGGAACAGUUGCCCUUUGUUGGAACACUAUUCCAUGGAUACUUGGAUGGAUCGAUCUGGAUUGGAUUGCACUGGAGAAGGAAGAAAAACGCACACCAUUGCUCUGGAUUGGCAGGUGAAUUUUGUGCUCGUUGUGGAUUCGAGGAUUACAUACACGGAUGGACUAGGAUCUCAAGGCGAUCAAUGCCCCCAAGCUGCCCAUAAUAGGUGGUGCUUGCACCAUUCCGUUUAAUAUCCUUUUGUGCUCCCCCUUCCUUCCCUCUAGCAGGCUCUUAGGCGUUCACUGAGAAUGUUAAGAGAAGGAUUCUUCGGUUACAAAACAGGAUCUGUCGAUGCUCCCGUAUGUCUUCACCAUUCGGAUACCUAUCUCGUCUUACUAAGGAGAAAGCCUUCCCGGAUACUCUUGAUCAUUCGAUCGCACGAGUGUAUGUGCUUCUGUGUGCGUGUGUU